CCACAGGCUUAGCAGAAGCUACACCCGGAUUCCUGCAGCUGAACGGAUGUAACCGGCAUUUGGACUUUUCUAUUCAGUUACCUCCUUGUGGUCUGCAUGUAGGCUGUGAUUCUGCGGGGCUCUGCUGGAUCAGCUUGCUUGAUUCCAGGCCCAGGUCUGUUGUAGGUAUCUCCUCAUCCUGGGACCAUUGGCUACGCAAGGUUUGAUCUUCUCACGGUCGAUGGCAGAAGUUCAAGAGAUCAAGCAGAGUCACAGAGGCACAUUUAAAGCCUCUGCUUCUAUUGCAUCUACUCACACUACUGGCCACAGCAAGUCACAUGACCAAGACUGACAACCACGGGUCAGAAAGAACACUCUACCCACAGUGAGAAAAUGUCAAAGAUCUUCACCAGCUGGGUUCCGAUGCCUUUGUUCAAUAAAGGUGGCUCACAUAGGCUAGCUCUAUUCCUACUGCGAGGAGAGGCGUAUGACCCAGACCUGGCCAAUCAAAACAUCCUUGCUCAAGGUGGACCAAUCAGAGCCAGUGAGAAUCCUGGGACUUGUGCUACGACUACUGGAAAUGAGAACUUUUUUGAUUGGAAUUCGUUAAAGAACGAGAUAUAAACCUGCUUAUGGUUAUCUUCCCGCUCCAUGGGAAGAGUACUCUCGAAGGAAGACAGGACAGAGAAAGACAGCCAAGAAGUGGAGGAAGACAGAUUCCUGAUGAGAUCACUUGAAUUCUUGAGUCUAAUUAUGCCUGAAGUUUUACUCAUCAAUUAGGCAAGCUAAUCAAUUUUAAUUUUUUGCUUAAGUCCGUUUUGUUGGCCACUUGCCUCCAAAAGAGUCUUAAACACUUGUGUUUUAUAACUUUCAGUAAAGUCUCAUAUGUAGGAGAGCAUGUGCAACAGCAGCAUUACCCAUGUCUACAAUAAUAGAUCAGCCCUUUUUCUCUCGUGUUCUCAGUGGUCACCAUUGUAUAAUGGACUGUCUUCAGGUAGGUGCACCUGCUCCAGGCCACAGCUCAUCAGAGGGCCUUGGCCCAGCAUAUCUCCUGUCUUUCCAAGAAUUGUCAUUGCUAGAAUUACUCAUGGUUGUCCCAUAUUCAAACUCUGUGGAUAUGGGAUUUGUGCUAUGCCCUGUCCUCCCCCUGCUCUACCCCAGGGGCUCAGUAGUUCCUUGUGAAUGUAGUUGUGCUUAUCUGUGCCCUAGAGAAUUCAGAAUGAGAUUUCCUGGCAGCUGGCCACUGGUAUCUUCUCCCAGCCUUGCAUCUCUAAGAUCUUGGGUCCAUUUCUAGUUCUUUCUUUGUCUUGCUCAGAUUAAGCAAUCACCGGGGCGCCUGGGUGGCUCAGUCGGUUAAGCGUCCGA